AGCAGGAUUCAUGGCUCAGUGGACUGUCUGUCAGAGCUGUCCUCGUCUCGGAUGAACUAUUCCUUCACAGGAGUUCGAUGCACUCUCAGCACUUCUUCCGCCAUCGCCACACAGAGAGAGCCAAGAUGCAAAAGCCAAGCAAGCAGGAACCGUUGCAGUAAUUUGCGGUGACGCUGGAGCACAGUUAGCGCUGGCCGGGGUACAUCAAUGGCAAACAGCAGUGCUGGCCCAGGGCCUAACCGAGUGGGUGGCACCUCCAGUUCCUCUGGCUCAGAUGGCAUUGCCAAACUCCACCUGGGCAUGCAGGUCUUGCUAAUUAGUGCCAAUGAGAUGGGCACCCUCAGCUACAUUGGCACAGCUGACUUUACCCCUGGCCUCUGGCUGGGCCUCGAGCUGCGAAGCCCAAAAGAAAAAAAAAAAACGACGGUUCUGUGGGCAGCCGAUGCUACUUCAGCUGUCGAUCUGGCCACGGGGUUCUGGUGCCUGACCCUGCCGGGUCACAUACCGCGGUAUCAACGGAGCCAAGCUGGUGAUGAAAGCAGCUGAGACCGACUCGAAUUGAAACAUGGGCUUCCCAUCUCUCCACUCAUCUGGCUUUCGGUUCAUUUUGUUACCUUUGGUUUGUUCUGAGAUCUCAGCCAACCUGAGGAGACAUUUUCUAACUGCACUAACGCUCAUAUGUUCACUGCUGAUAAACUGUUUACUUCAUUUUCAAAACUAACUGAAUACUGUGUGGAAAUGAAUAUUCCAUUGUAAUUAUUCUUUAAAGGUAUUCAUUUUAAAGUUUGAAUUCAGAUGAAUUCAGAAGUUAGCAGUAGCUGUCUCUGAAGGCUUUAAUAAAUGUGGAUGAAGACAAUGCCUUGGAUAGUAGGAUUGAAGAAGUUCAGACAAUUUAUUAACAUCAGUAACUGUGAUUAUAUCAGCUCUUAAAAUCCCCUCAGAAGUUCUCUCACAAGAAUGAAGCAUCGCUUAGAGUUUGUCUACUCUUGUCAGCAGGUGUGAGUCCCUUAAAAAUAUGGCUCUUACAUUCAGAAAUCACAAGAUUAUGUUCUUACUACAUCCAUAUAUUUUAUUUUUAUGUGAGAGUGGUUGUGAUUAAAUAAUAUGCACUUUAAUAUUAUCAUAAUCCAAGAUCUAAUCAGCUCAGAUAAUCAAAACUUGAUUGUACUUGAUUGUUCCACAGAUAUGAUAACAGUUUUUGCUGCUGACAUACUUAAUCAGGUUUUUAUUUCCCUUGUAAUAAAGAUUUACUCUUGACUGAAA